rnacentral:tRNA from 1 species
GCAUGGGUGAUUCAAUGGUAGAAUUAUUGCCUUCCAUGUGGGAGACUCCGGGUUCAGUUCCCAGCCAAUGCA